rnacentral:rRNA from 1 species
CAGCCGCCGCGGUAAUACGAAGGGGGCUAGCGUUGCUCGGAAUGACUGGGCGUAAAGGGCGCGUAGGCGGAUGGCACAGUCAGACGUGAAAUUCCCGGGCUUAACCUGGGGGCUGCAUUUGAUACGUGUUGUCUAGAGUGAGGAAGAGGGUUGUGGAAUUCCCAGUGUAGAGGUGAAAUUCGUAGAUAUUGGGAAGAACACCGGUGGCGAAGGCGGCAACCUGGUCCUUGACUGACGCUGAGGCGCGAAAGCGUGGGGAGCAAACAGGAUUAGAUACCCCGGUAGUCCCUGUCUCUUAUAC